rnacentral:misc_RNA from 1 species
UACGGAGGGUGCAAGCGUUAAUCGGAAUUACUGGGCGUAAAGCGCACGCAGGCGGUCUGUCAAGUCGGUUGUGAAAUCCCCGGGCUCAACCUGGGAACUGCAUUCGAAACUGGCAGGCUAGAGUCUUGUAGAGGGGGGUAGAAUUCGAGGUGUAGCGGUGAAAUGCGUAGAGAUCUGGCGGAAUACCGGUGGCGAAGGCAGCCCACUGGGCAAAGACUGGCGCUGAGGCGCGAAAGCGUGGGGAGCAAACAGG